CCCCUUCUCCCCCGCGUAAUUCCCCCUUCCACUGACUCCACCUCAGCAUCCCUCGGCGGAGAAACCUGCCCGGCGGAGCCCGACCCGGGCUCUGCUCCAGCGCCAGUGCUGGCCUCAGGCUGCACCCUCCGGGCUCCGGCCGCUGGUCCCUGAGCAGAGCGGCGGGGCUGGCCCGGCUGCGAAAUAUUCCCGGCCUAAGCGGUCCCGACACCGGGAACCGCCUCGUUUGGCUGCUGAGAGGCUAGUAAGAUACGUGAGUUGUGUGUGUGCUGGCAGCAGGCGGGCUGAGACCGAGCCCUCGCCACUCUGCUGGUGGGCGAACGGUUCGUCCACCCUACGCCUCUCACCGUGGUGUCUGGGGCUAGAGGAGUCCUUGCAGCAGAGACUGCAACUGCAAACUUGUCUCAAGCCCCGCUGAUGCUACAGGACUGAAUACAGCCAGUCAGCUUGUGCAACCCCCAGCAUCUGAGCAUGUAUAACUGCAGACCUGAUUACUUUUUGUUUUUUAUAACUAGAAAAGAAAGCUGCAGUCGUCGUGCUCAAUCUAAGCAAUCUAAGUUCACAAGGGAGAUGCUCCUCAUUCUGAAUACAUUUAAAUGAGCUCGAACUCAGCUUAAGAGCAAAAGCAAUUGUUAUUUCUGAGCUUUCAGCUAGCAGUGGCCAUCUGAGAAGUGAGGUGCACCUAAGGGUUCACAAACAAAGGCAAGAUAACCAGCUCCUAGUGCUGAAGAGCGUCAGUGCCAGGGAUGUACCAUGCUAUAAUAGCACAUGAAGAAUCUGGUCUGGAUGUAUUGUAAGAUUAUAUGAGCAUGAGAAUUUUGUAGAUUCAUCUAUCACUGCACAUUGCCAUUCCCCAGUUUUCCCCAUAUUUUACCUACAUUAUCAGUGGCAUCCAAAUCGCAUCUUGAGGAUUUUGGUGAAGUGUGGUAAUCCGAGUCCUCGACCUUGAGAGGCACAGAUGGAGAUCACCAGCAACUGAUGGACCAUCUCAGAAUCUCAGGAACAUCAGAGGAUCUGACUCUCUACCGCCGAAGCAGGAGAUCAACAGAUCUGGGCUGAUGGAUCCUUUGAUGGAAUACAGGAAUCAGACAUCAGCAAUGGCAACAUUUGUGGAAUUUCAAAAUUCCAAAUUGGAAUCAAGAGUGAUAAACAUGACACUGAAUGUAGAAGCAGACAGCUAUAUCCAAUUUAAAGCUAGGAAUCUUGCAGGAGAAGCUUGUCUUCAUCUUCCUUGGAAUUUUGGGAAGAGUGCCAAAACUCAGAUGCUGAACUUUCCAAGCAAGAAAAACAUAAUUCUGAUCCAACUCAAAUGUAAGUUCUGUGGAAACUGAGCUGAAG